rfam:Burkholderia sp. OLGA172 chromosome 1, complete sequence.
GCGAGCCGUGUGCGGCGAAAGUCGCAUGCACGGUUCUUCGGGGGCCCUGCUGUCGAGAGGCAGUGGGGCUACCCUCU